rnacentral:lncRNA from 1 species
GGGGGGUCGUCUCUCAGUAUCUGCAGCAACCUAGAUAAUGAAUGACAAUUUUUUUAAUGAGUAUCCAGGGUGAGACAAUUUCAAUGUUUUGUCAACUAAAGUUUGAAUGUACUUUUAUCUGAUUUUGAGUACGAUGCCCUUAAUUCAAGGAAACAAACAGAGGAUUGAAGUUUCUCUAGGCCUAUAGACAACCAGCAUGAUACAAAACUUCAAAGCAAAAUAAGGAGCUUUUAAGCACUCAGUCUCAAAGUUAUAAUGCUUAAAUCAGCCCCUGUUUUUCAACCAUUAUUGGGAGAAUAAAAGAGUUUUGAAUAGUAUUCUUUGGAAAAUGUGCGGUUAAAAGUAAAGAAACUUUAUUGAUUUUUGUGUAAAAUAUUUUAUUGUGUAAAUGUGUGGUGAAGAAUGAUAUUGUAGCAAACAAUUUAAAAUUUUAAAGGGUGCAAAACAGGCACUCAAUGAUGCAAAGCAUUCCGAGUCCUUUUAAUGAGUUCAACAUUCUACUAUGACCAUUAAAGUCGCAUUGAAAUGUCUACUCAGCUUGCUGCAAAUCAAUGAAUUGCCCACUAUACACUUAUUCUGGGGAUGUGCCUUUUUUGGGUGAAACAUGCUACCAAAUAAAGAUCAUGAUAUUCAACCCAUGUUAACAAAACUUCAUCCAACAAUAGUUGCUUAUGGAUUGAUGCAUUUGAUCUUGGAUUUCCUGGAGGAAAGGGAGAAGAAAAAGAACGAAACUGCAAUUCUAUUAAAUAUGUAGAAUUUCCCGUAAAAUAAAUGAAACAGAGGUACAUAUAGCAAAAUUAUUCCCGUGUGUUGAAAUAGUUGUAGCGAAACUAAAAAAUUCUAAAAGAUUCAUCAACUUAUUCCAAUUAAUUUGAUAACUCGAUAUUAAUCCUAAACAAAGAUUUUCCCAUACGCCAACAAAAUUUAAGCAGCACCGAAUAAAAAUUCUGAAUUAAUGAAUCGAAUCAAAGAAUAAGAACGCGCUUUAACAUGAAUAUGAAUUACACAGUUGUAUUUGAAUCAAAGAUGAAUAUCCAUUACUAACCGACAUCGUUAUACGAACAGCAAAUCAAUCAGAGGCUAUUAGAUUGGAUUAGCAAACACGGAGGAAACUGAUAGACAAAGAAAUAUAUAUUUUUAUGUAAUUAUUAUUAGCGUCGUGGUUUC